rnacentral:rRNA from 1 species
UACGGAGGGUGCAAGCGUUAUCCGGAAUCACUGGGUUUAAAGGGUGCGUAGGCGGUCUUGUAAGUCAGUCGUGAAAUCGCUGGGCUCAACCCAUGCAACUGCGAUUGAUACUGCUUGACUUGAAUAAGGUUGAGGUAGGCGGAAUGUGGCAUGUAGCGGUGAAAUGCUUAGAUAUGCCAUAGAACACCGAUUGCGAAGGCAGCUUGCUGGACCUUUAUUGACGCUGAGGCACGAAAGCGUGGGGGGCAAACAGGAUUAGAUACCCUGGUAGUCCACGCCCUAAACGAUGUUUACUUGCUGUUCGGCCUUCGGGCGGAGUGGCGAAGCGAAAGCGAUAAGUAAACCACCUGGGGAGUACGCCGGCAACGGUGAA